AGACCAUGAGCCGCAGGUCGCUGCCCGCGACGCUGAGGACGUCGCAGUCCAGGGUCAGCGGGCCGACGUCCGGGUGGUCGAUGGUCUU
rnacentral:tRNA from 1 species